ensembl:lncRNA
GAGCGCGAGUGGCUCCGGCAAGCCGGGUAGGCGCGGAGCGCCCGCCCGGCCCGGUCCCGCCCACUCCAAGACACCGCCCCGCCCCCUUUCUAGCCACGCCUCCGGCUAAUGCACAGUCCAGCCCCUCGCAGCUGUGCGCCCCUCCCACAAAGAAGGCCACACCCCCUUCCGGUGGCUGUGGUGCGGGGAGGUGAGGAGGCGAGUCGGGGCGGGGCUCGGCCUAACGAGCAAGGAGCUGAACCGCCCCUUCGUGGUUGCCUCAGGAAAGAGCCAGAUUUGUUUGUUUGUUUGCUUAUAGCCUUUCCUUCUCUCAACUCCUCUCUCGUCCAGAAAUAGAGGUAAAGUUCCAAGGCCAAGUCUCAUAAAACGCCCCCGCGUGCAAACAAGUGACUGGGCUGCUGAGACAUACUCAGUGUGGGAUGACUACAGGAUUGGGCGAGGAUGAAAGAGACAUGAGAUUGUACUGUCUACUUAUAAAAGCUUCCCCUAGUGUGGCUGGCACGUUUGAGAAACGUGCACGCCCUGGUUAUAUGAGGUAUGAAAAUGCAGUGAGAAAAGAUGGAUAUAUCACAUUGAAGAUGCAGACAAAAAGGGAAGUGGAGAAAGAAAGUGACCCAGAAAUGUAGAGAAAGCUGACUGCUUGGAUUUGAAAGUUAGAAGAUGGAUGGAUCAAGAAGCAGCUGCCUGUGGGAGAUGAGACAGAUGAAAAGGAAGUGCCUAGAGAACCAUUGGUGGGGUUGGCCAAGUGCUGAGAGGACACUGCCUCUAAUCGUUUGAUUCAGCGUCCUGUUGGAGUCUGACCCAUCCAUCUGCUGUCUCCAGAUGUCUUCCAUUCUACCACAUGCAUGUGCUGUGGCUGGUUCUCUGUCCUUGCUCUUUAAUUCACUCCUGGUCUGUCUACUACCUGCAUGAAUCAGCUGAUCCAGAAUUUCUUCACUCUGUGGCUCCCCCAGUCACGAUCACAUCCUGUUUACAGUUCCUUGAUAUACGACAACUCUGAUGUGCACACUAUUCAUACUAGCCACAUCAUGACAUGAGAGGCUAUGGAACAUAUAUCAAUACCUUUCAUGUAUUUAUAGUACAAUGCUGAGUCUACAUAGAAUACUGACCACUCUUGAGGUAAGAAUGUCCAUCCGUUCUUCAUCCACAACAGAGAAACAAGAUUAUGUAACAGAAUAAAUAAGCUUCCUUUGACUUGUCUUGGGAAUUCGUAAACUGCUCAAAGGAGGCUUUGGAAUAUUCCUACUGGACAUAUGGGACAGCUAUCUGGAAAAGCCAAAAUAUUUGUAAUUUAUCCGUGAAGACUAGAUCCUCAAGUUUAUGUUCAUCUCUUUUCUCUUUCUCCUCAGUCUUGCCCUAAAAUGUUGCUUUUAAAGAUCUCAGGCAUUUUGAAUCAUACAAGGUUUUAGAUUAGUAUAUGGGGUCUGUAGCAAAUGCUCAGUGCAUGCCAGUGCUUACUGAUAGGGAGUUUUUCUGCAAUGUGUGACAAAACAGGGUAAUGUCUUACGUUCCUAAGUAUUAACACCAUCCUGUUAUGUGACUAAUUUUUUUUUAACUUUUUGUUCUUCCUAAUCUAAUUAUUUCCAAACACUUGUAUUUUUAUAUAUGAUUAGGUGCAAUUUUUUCCCCAUUGAAACCAGUUAGAACUUAAAAGUUCACUAUACAUAGCUUUACAAUUAUGUAUUCCUAUAUAAAACUUUCUUUGUGCAUUUUAUGGAGAUGAAAGAAAGAAGUCUGAGUGUCUGGAUAUACCCCAUGUUUAUCUCAUACUGAUAGAUUUUAACGGCUUUAUGAGUACAGUGUUCACGAUGGUUGUUUCACAUGUGAACACAUAUGGGCAUGAGCAUGUGCACCACACACACACACACACACACACACACACACACACACACACACACACGUUUUAGAGAAAAUCAAUUCUCCUGGCUUCUCCCAGCACAUUUCCUGAGUCUAAUCUCCCUACUGCAGCUAUUUCAUGCUCACUGCAGAACAAACAAAAUCUACAUUCAGAACAGGACCCUUCACAAGUUCAAUGGAGUUAUUUUGGGUGAGUCAUUGAAAACACAGUACAAAACCUUUCCUCACUCACCAGAAAUGCAUUUUAAAAAUAAAGCCAAAGUGAACAAGGCUUGGCAAGUUUCAGAGUAAAAUGGGGAGAGAAUGGGGCCUUCGCCAGCCCCAGACAGGAUUUUGGCUAUCUCUUAGCUUCCAACUCCACCAAUUUCUUUUGUUCCCGCUAACCAAAAAGUGCAAAGUUGAAUAGGUAAGACAUCAAAAUAAUGGCACAUCAGUUCAACUCAGCACCUCCAAAGCAGGUCUCCAGCAGAGCCCAUGUGUCGUGUAGCUUAGAACAGUUUUAAGACUUCUUUGUGUCUUUCUUUCCUUAGGGGUACUAGGGUACACACAUUAAGAAGUCACUGUCUUCAGACUUUUAGACAAAUAAUUAAAAAGAAUUAAAAGUAGUAUAUAAGUGUAAUAUCCCUUCCUAUAAAAUAGCUUUUAAGUAAGUGGAGCCUCAUGAAAGUUAAUCCAGUAACCAAGUAUUAGAGGAAGUAGAACUGUGAAGACACAAUAAGCCAGCUUCUAAGAAGAUUUUUAAGCUGAAUUUUAUAAUAAAUAAGUCUUUGUAAUAGUUGUGUGAACCUGAGAUUUUUAACAUAGAGCUAUUCAAGAUUUAUAAGUCACUGUGAAUUACUUCCUAUUAACCAUGUUACUCACCCAAUACCGUGAAGAAAUCUUAUUUUCCACAAGGCACUGCAGAUCACACAUACAGGUACUCACAUCUCAUAGGCGAGGAGAAACUCAAAUUCCACAAAGAGAUAUGGUAUCUGGUUUGUUAUUCUGAGUUCUGUAUGUCAAUAUGUGGGUAUGUCCACACGUACGCAGGUGCCAAGAAGGCUACAAGGGUUGUGAUCCUCCACAUAUGGGUGCUGGAAAUGGAACCCUCAUACCCUUUACAGAAGCAGCAAGGUCCCUUAUCCAUGAAACUGUCUUUCCAACCCCAUGGAGAUAUGUUUAAAAAAUUGUGGUAACUCAAAACUCUUGCUACAGAAUUUCAUAGUUCCUAAAAUCACCUUUAACACAGGUUGACCCAAAUAUUAUUGUGAGCAAAUUAACAUAUACUGUAGAGGAUCCCCCAGUAAGAAGUAUCCUAUUCAUAAAAGUCCCAUCUCCAAGUUAUAGGAAAAGCCAAAAAAUACUGAUUACCUAUAUACAUUUUAACCUUGGGCCCUGAAAAUCACCAGUUUUCACAUGUCAGGGUGACAACUGUUAGUAAGGAAAAAAAUCUCUACAUUUGAAAUUUAAUCUGCCUGUGGAAAUACAAUGUCCAAAAUAAAUAGAUAUCCUGCUCUAGUUGAAAAUGUCAUAGUACUCCAUUUCCUACAUUUGGAGAAUUUCUUUUCUUUCACUUCUCUUUUGGGGUAAAGUGGUAGUUUUUAAAUAAUAAAAUAAGAACUUAUGUUUCUU